rnacentral:rRNA from 1 species
AACGAACGCUGGCGGCAGGCUUAACACAUGCAAGUCGAGCGCCCCGCAAGGGGAGCGGCAGACGGGUGAGUAACGCGUGGGAAUCUACCCAUCCCUACGGAAUAGCUCCGGGAAACUGGAAUUAAUACCGUAUACGCCCUACGGGGGAAAGAUUUAUCGGGGAUGGAUGAGCCCGCGUUGGAUUAGCUAGUUGGUGGGGUAAAGGCCUACCAAGGCGACGAUCCAUAGCUGGUCUGAGAGGAUGAUCAGCCACAUUGGGACUGAGACACGGCCCAAACUCCUACGGGAGGCAGCAGUGGGGAAUAUUGGACGAGGGGGGCAACCCUGUUCCAGCCAUGCCGCGUGAGUGAUGAAGGCCUUAGGGUUGUAAAGCUCUUUCACCGGGGAAGAUAAUGACGGUACCCGGAGAAGAAGCCCCGGCUAACUUCGUGCCAGCCGCCGCCGUAA